GGGGGUGUCCCGGUUUCGACUGGUCGCGCUGAACGUCAACUGCAUACCGAGGAUGAUCGUUGGCCUCGUUAAUCAUCGGUCAAUCCAAUAACUGCGAACGAAGAGUACGCACUCGCUGCCUAAUUAGCUGCGGCGACGUCUUCUCCCCGACGGGCGCUGGGGGAACAAGGCGAUAAUCCGCGUCCUGGUUCUCAUGGUUUUUCCGCCGCCAUGGAACGAGAUUUCAGACGGAACAGUCGCAAAGAAGCCCGUUUGCCGGCUCCCGGCGCGACGAUAAGCAUCAAAGGCAAAACAUGUAUGUAGACGUUGCCGCUAUGCCUUCUCAGGACAGGGGUUCGACUCCCCUCACCUCCACCA
rnacentral:tmRNA from 1 species